GAAAGAGGUUGCAAAAAAUCGGUGGUUGCGACUGUUUAUUAAAAACACAGCACUCUGCAAACACGAAAGUGGACGUAUAGGGUGUGACGCCUGCCCGGUGCCGGAAGGUUAAUUGAUGGGGUUAGCGAAAGCAAAGCUCUUGAUCGAAGCCCCGGUAAACGGCGGCCGUAACAAUAACGGUCCUAAGGUAGCGAAAUUCCUUGUCGGGUAAGUUCCGACCUGCACGAAUGGCGUAACGACAGCCACACUGUCUCCACCCGAGACUCAGUGAAAUUGAAUUCGCUGUGAAGAUGCAGUGUACCCGUGGCAAGACGGAAAGACCCCGUGAACCUUUACUAUAGCUUUACACUGGACUUUGAACCUGUUUGUGUAGGAUAGGUGGGAGACUUUGAAGUAGGGACGCUAGUUUCUAUGGAGUCAUCCUUGAAAUACC
rnacentral:rRNA from 1 species